AUUCUACUCCCUCCGUUACACAAUACAUGCCUUCUAUUUGUCAAAAUAUAUUUGUAUCUAGGCAUGUUUUAAUAUAUAGGUACAUCCAUUUUUGGACAAAUGGAAGUCAAGUAUUUUGGAACGGAGGGAGUACACA
rfam:Triticum aestivum genome assembly, contig: Triticum_aestivum_CS42_TGACv1_scaffold_321025_4BL